ACACCGGCAGCCCAAGUGGUGGCCAUUUUUAUUGGGCCUAAAGCGUUCGUAGCCGGCCUGAUAAGUCUCUGGUGAAAUCCCGCAGCUUAACUGUGGGAAUUGCUGGAGAUACUAUCAGGCUUGAGGUCGGGAGAGGUUAGAGGUACUCCCAGGGUAGGGGUGAAAUCCUAUAAUCCUGGGAGGACCACCUGUGGCGAAGGCGUCUAACUGGAACGAACCGGACGGGGAGUAACGAAAGCCAGGGGCGCGAACCGGAUUGGAUACCCGGGUAGUCCUGGCCGUAAACGAUGUGGACUUGGUGUUGGGAUGGCCUCGAGCUGCCCCAGUGCCGAAGGGAAGCUGUUAAGUCCACCGCCUGGGAAGUACGGUCGCAAGACUGAAACUUAAAGGAAUUGACGGGG
rnacentral:rRNA from 1 species